UCGGGUGUGGUGCACGGUGCACAUCGGCUUCAUGCGAGAGUGGAGAUAAAUAAACUAAGCCGCGAAACGGGGUUCGACUCCCCGCGCCCGAC